ensembl:lncRNA
GGGUGGGGCUGUGUUCUCUCCCUGUAGUUUGGCCUCAGGCUAAAGGACCUAGGGGUAAUGGCAACAUCCCUGAAAAGGACUUAUGCCAGCACUCCACUCCCAGGACUGUUGCAUUCAGUGCCCCGACCCCACAGCAGGCUGCUGGAGACUCCUGGACACUCACAGUGUUGAAAAUAGGGAAAGAGACAGGAACAGCAACAGGAGACCUCAGAGAGACAGACGUGCCCCAAACUACACCCUCGGGGGAGCUGCCUGCAGGGAUCUGGUUAAGAACAGCUCAACUGAAUUUAAGAAAUAA